UACGAAGGGGGCUAGCGUUGCUCGGAAUCACUGGGCGUAAAGCGCACGUAGGCGGCUUUCUAAGUCAGGGGUGAAAUCCUGGAGCUCAACUCCAGAACUGCCUUUGAUACUGGGAAGCUUGAGUCCGGAAGAGGUGAGUGGAACUGCGAGUGUAGAGGUGAAAUUCGUAGAUAUUCGCAAGAACACCAGUGGCGAAGGCGGCUUACUGGACCGGUUCUGACGCUGAGGCGCGAAAGCGUGGGGAGCAAACAGG
rnacentral:rRNA from 1 species